rnacentral:rRNA from 1 species
GACGAACGCUGGCGGCGUGCCUAACACAUGCAAGUCAACUUGACUGAAGGAGCAAUCUGACAGUAGAGUGGCGCAAGGGUGCGUAACGCGUAAGUAACUUGCCCAAGGUAAGGAAUAACGUCGAGAAAUCGGCGCUAAUACCUCAUAAUGCAGCGGAUCCGCAUGGAUAUGUUGUUAAAGGUUUACCGCCUUGGGAUAGGCUUGCGUCUGAUUAGUUAGUUGGUGUGGUAACGGCACACCAAGGCUACGAUCAGUAACUGGUCUGAGAGGAUGAUCAGUCACACUGGAACUGAGACACGGUCCAGACUCCUACGGGAGGCAGCAGUGAGGAAUAUUGGGCAAUGCUCGAAAGAGUGACCCAGCAACGCCGCGUGGAGGAUGAAGGUAUUCUAUAUCGUAAACUCCUGUGAGAGCAGACGAAAGACAGAUUAUAAUCUGGAUGACUGUAUGCUCAGAGGAAG